rnacentral:rRNA from 1 species
AGGGUUUGAUCAUGGCUCAGGACGAACGCUGGCGGCGUGCUUAACACAUGCAAGUCGAGGGGGGGUAGCAAUACCUCACCGGCGAACGGGUGCGUAACACGUGAGCAACCUACCGAUUUGUGGGGGAUAGCCGGCCCAACGGCCGGGUAAUACCGCAUACGCUCUUUCAGUGGAGUCACUGGGAGAGGAAACCUCCGGGGCAAAUCGAGGGGCUCGCGGCCUAUCAGCUAGUUGGCGGGGUAAUGGCCCACCAAGGCAGUGACGGGUAGCUGGUCUGAGAGGAUGGCCAGCCACAUUGGGACUGAGAGACGGCCCAGACUCCUACGGGAGGCAGCAGUGGGGAAUCUUGCGCAAUGGACGAAAGUCUGACGCAGCGACGCCGCGUGCGGGAGGAAGCUCUUCGGGGUGUAAACCGCUGUUGCCCGGAACGAAACGCCUUUUUCGAGAGGCUUGACGGUACCGGGUGAGGAAGCACCGGCUAACUCUGUGCCAGCAGCCGCGGUAAUACAGAGGGUGCGAGCGUUGUCCGGAAUCACUGGGCGUAAAGGGCGCGUAGGUGGCGGCAUAAGGCUGUGGUGAAAGUCUGGGGCUCAACUCCAGAUCGGCCGCGGCGACUGUGUCGCUUGGGCACCGUAGAGGCAGAUGGAAUUCCGGGUGUAGCGGUGGAAUGCGUAGAGAUCCGGAAGAACACCAGUGGCGAAGGCGGUCUGCUGGGCGGUGAGCUCGCGAGAGCUCAAUAGCCGACACUGAGGCGCGACAGCGUGGGGAGCAAACAGGAUUAGAUACCCUGGUAGUCCACGCCGUAAACGAUGGGCACUAGGUGCUCCGGGGAGCGACCCUUGGAGU